UCUCUCUCUCUUCCUCUCUCGAAACAAUGCUGCACUUAAGUGAGCCACCAAAAUCUGGGUUGCGAGUCAUUUUGGCACCGGUCGUAUAGGAGCCCCUGAAGUUUUGGUAACAAACCCUACACUUGAUUGGGAUCCAGAGCUUACUGGGAAACUACAUCAGGCACUGAAAUCUUACUCCUGGUUCGACAGGUGGCCCUGUAGUGAUCUGGGUUCAUCAGCAGGUGGUCAGCCAUCUGAUCUGCAGUGUGAGGCUUGUAUUCACAGUUAGAGCACUGCAGCAGGAACACACUGAAACACACAAUAAAAAAGGAGCGCAGGACCUGAGAGCAAUUUGGCAGGAGAGAAUCAAAGGGAGCUGAGGGGCAGAUUGGGGGAGACACAGAGACACAUGCCCGCAACAGCCCAGCAGAUGUCGUGGGUGAUAGUUGUCAUUCCUGCCUUGUUCCCUAGCACCAUUUACCUUGUUGGGUUUUGUUAAAUUUGUCUGGGUUUGAGAUGGCUGGUGGUUCCAUUUAGUUUAGUUUAGGGGGAUGAACUGGGUGCUAUGGCUCGCUGAGUGGCUGCACAGCGACUUCCACAUCUUUUAUUUCUUUUGGCCGGGAUCUCCAACUCCCUUUGUUUCUUUAUGCUCUAAGUCUGAUUCCGAUUUUGCAAACAAUAAAAUAUGCUGA